GCAAACUGCUCAAAGCUCGGCUUGAUAAAAGUUCAGCUUGGUUCGGCUCGUUUAGAAAAUGAGUCAAGCUCGAACUCAAUUUUUAGACUCGUUUAAUAAACAAAUCGGGCUUGAGCUUAGUAGUAUUCAGCUUGUUAAGACUUGCGAACCGGCUCAUUUACAAGCUCAUGAGUGAACUCGUAAAAUAAGCUUGUAAACAGACUCAUUUAUAAAAAUAUUUAUAUUAAUUAUUGUA
rnacentral:misc_RNA from 1 species